rnacentral:misc_RNA from 1 species
AUAAAACUUACAGGCUAAUUUGCCUGCAAAGUUAAUUUUGGAUAUUUUCCCUUCGAUGACAAGUUCAGGGGGCAAAUUGCCACUUUAUCUGAAUUAUAUAUCUAAUGUUACUUACAAAAUUUAUUUUGCGUCCUUUGUUCGUUUGUGAGGUGGCAGCGAUUUAUUAAUACCCUCUCUAAUGUAUUGAUUAAGCUUUCAGGGUUGUGGCCACUGCAGUUACAUACAUGAGACGUGUAUAUACCAGGUACUUGGAUGAUUUCUGAUGGGGUGAGAAAAGUAUAGUCAGAAACUAGAAGCUAAAGAAUUAUGCUUUACUUUGAACUCUAUAUAAAUUUGAUAAAGCACAUUUGCGUGUGCUCUUUUUCUUUUAAUGAUCUAACAUCUAAGUUCUCUAAAAUCUUUAAGAAAACCCUCUGAGGUUUUCUAUAAUAUACAUUUUGGCCACUAUUAGUUCAAAAUUAGCAAGCUUACUCAUUGAGGUUUGUUAAUGGCUCAACACUUAGUCAUCGAUUAUAAAAUUAUCAAUUACUACAUUUUAGUCCUUGAAAUUUUCAACUAAAUUAUACUUUAUCUCUAAAGUUUAAACUUUAAUUGCACUUUAGUCCCUAAAUUUUAUAUUUUAAAACACAUUAGUUGGUCAAAUUCUUGUACUUAUGACUGAUGGUAGUAGGUCGAAAUUUUCUAAUUUUGAAAUGAUUGGGGAUAAAGUGUAUUUUGAGACAAAUUUUAGUUAUUGUUUGUAACUAAUUCAAUCAUAUUUACAAUCACUUAAUGUGCAAUUUUUGUCUGACCUUUUUGCUUCAAAUAAAAAUAAGUGUAUAAAGUUUUACUGUAUAUAAUGCUGGAAGCUUUGGGCAUCAUAGCAGUGUCCUGGGAAGCUUUAUCCAAGUAUCAAUGUCCUUCUUUCUUAUAUUCUUUUAAUUUCCAACCAUUUAUUCCAAGUUGCAGUCACCAAUCAUAAUGUGUUUUUUAAAUCAUUGGGCAUCUCAAUGCUUCUAUAGGGAUUACUUGUCAUGCUAAUGCCAAAUGUAAUAUCACUCACUAGUCUUGAUUUCUUUUUGUGCUAUCAGAAAGAGUAUGUCAGAAUAUGAUCCGCGACUAGUAGCUCCAACCUGCUUGUACUUGGCAGCAAAAGCUGAAGAAAGCACUGUUCAGGCCAGACUUCUUGUUUUUUACAUAAAAAAAUUCUGUAAGCAGUUAUUAAUGCCUUAAUGCAUCAAUUAUUCAACUUUCAUUAUAGUUUGGUUGUUGGCCUUCUGUUUAGUGCAAAAUGUGCUGACAGUCACCUUCUGCCCCAUAGAUGCUGAUGAAAAGUACAGGUAUGAAAUCAAAGACAUACUGGAGAUGGAAAUGAAGAUUUUGGAAGCUCUUAACUAUUACCUGGUUGUCUUCCAUCCUUAUCGUUCAUUGUCUCAGUUGUUGCAGGAUGCUGGCAUUAAUGACAUCAAUAUGAUUCAAUUUUCUUGGUAAGCAUCCAACAUAUACAAUCUUUUAACUUUUUGAAGUUAUUGCUGGAGCUAGGGAGGGACACAUUCCAUUCUUAUUCAAUUUUUUUAGUUACAUGUUUAUUUAUUUGAUUGUAUGUAAUUCCUAUAUUAACUAAUUCUUUUAUAAAGAGCUGCUGGAGAUAUUUUUCCUUUCAUAUUUGUCAAUUGGAUUCCAUAGUGAAUUUAUGUAUCAAGCUAACUGGAUGGUUUAAACAUCCUCAUGUAGUCUACUCAAAUCAUUGGGUUUUUUUUUUUUCAGAAGUAAACAUUGAUAGAAUAGAGUCAGAGUAAAAAAAUAGCGUAAUAUUUAUGUUAAGGUAAGGCUUGUGAGUUAGAAGCAAGUUUAAAUGUUCAACUUACACCCAUGGUAAUUAUUAGAUCCAUGACAUUAGUGUCUGGGAGCUAGUUUUAGGUUUAGGUCUUGGCUAUGGAGGUUUCAAUAUUUGAAGCAAUGUGUAGCAGGUAUUUUUUAAAAGAAAAGGUUGUUAACUGCAGUGCAAAAUCAUGUUAUGUAUUGUUAAAACUGCAAUAGUAGGCAGAUGAUUCAAGUAGCCGAGGUAGAGAACUAUGGUUUGGUUCACUUUAAAACUCGUAAUCUCCAUGGAGAAAAAUAGGCGGUGGAACAAUGAAAUAUGAAUACCAUCUCCUAUAGCCCAAAAGUGCAUCCUUGUUGAGCAACAUGAAGUUUGGUAGGUUUUAGAUAAUUUUUUCAGUCUCAUUGUGCCUUAAAUCUCCAUACUGUCCUUGCCAUUGGUUCAUACUUCAGUCCUUCAAGUUGGAAUCUCAAAUUCAUGCAAAUCGAGUAUUCAAAUUAUGAGCAGAUAUUAAAUAAUUUACAAUUUUUUUUUUCUAAUGAGCAUCUAGAAUUUAGUUUCACACCAUUUGCAAACGUUCUUGUAUCACCAUCAUUUGUUUAGAAGGCUUACAAAGCUUGUUCCUUCUAGCUUUUGUCAUUGAUUGAUUGAUUCUCCGAGCUUGUGCAUGUUUUAUGCAAUUGAUAUUUGAAUUGCAGAAUUCUGUGGAACCGGAAAAAAGAAAAGCUCAUGUGAAAACCCAUGUGAAAAAAGCCACAUCAUAUUACAUUCAUUAUGUGGCACACAAGAUUUUCUUUUGAUGCAAAAAGAGUGGCAAAAAUUAUAUCUUGCUACAUAGUUUUUUAAAACAACAGAAUCAUUUGAUGGCAACCGCAUUUAAGUUGUGAAAACAUUUUGGGAAACCCGAAAAAGAAAGAUGCCCUUUCUUUGAUAACAAACAGUUACAAGCCUUCUAAUUUUUGAAACGGAUUCCUUGUGAAAAGGAGAAAGAUCCUGUAAUUCUAGCGUUCCCUUUCUUUUUCUUUUGCUCAACUUAUUGUCCAAAUGUUUGAAAAUUAUCAAAUAGCUUCAUGAUUUCUGAGUUUAACCUUUUUAGCUGAUUAACCUUUUCUCUCCUUGUGGGUACAUCCUACCGUAAUGCUAGCUGUUGAUUUGUACAAAUAUUGUUAUUAUAAAAUUUGUCAUAAUUUGUAUCUUGAUUGAUUUAAAAUAACAUAGAUAUGCUGACAUCUACAGGGGACUUGUAAAUGACACCUGCAAGAUGGACCUAAUUCUUAUACACCCUCCACAUCUAAUUGCUUUAGCUUGCAUAUACAUUGCUAGUGUGCAUAAAGACAAGGAUAUAACAGCAUGGUUUGAGGAGCUUCGUGUUGAUAUGAAUGUGGUGAAAAAUAUUUCAAUGGAGAUACUAGAUUUCUAUGAAGGCCAGAGACUGAUCACAGAUGAUAGAGUUAACACUGCCUUCAGCAAACUAGCAUUGAAGCCCUAAAUACUUUGGUCACUUGGAAAUAAUCCUGCCCUACAUUUAAUCCAAUAUAAACAAGGCAUGGGAUCGAUCCAAGCGAAAUCUUCAACCAGAGUAAACCUGCUUGCUCUUUUGGAAGAAAUUUGUUAGGAUGGCUGUGUGGAGGCAGUAGACAUCUUUUGCAGGAUUGCUAAGGUUCAAGUACUGUACUCGUCCGUUUACACCCAUGUUUAAGCAUAAGAAUUAUGGCAUUGUUUUCACUGAGAGAUUGAAAACUGAUAGCUAGCGUAGCAAGCUCGCAUCGAUGGAGCUCGCUAGCUCUGACUAGUUUUCGGAGAGUCAGAUGAUAACAUUGUAAACUUAUAAUUCUAAACUUGAAGAUAACAUAUUUAUCCAAAAAAAAAAAGGAAAAGAUGCGGUGACCCCCUUCAAAAGAAAUGCGAACAUAAGUUGUAACCUACUAACCUUACACAAAAAGCUGUCACUAUUAUUUUAGCAUGUAUACAACCACUUUACUACCGUUGCUGUUUCAAGACAAACUAAUUAAUCCUAACACACCAAUAGGAGGGGUCAAGAAACUCCAGCCUUGCUUGGUUGUCUACUAGAGGUUGCAUUAAUCUUGUUCUCAGCUUAUGCUUGAGCGGUUAAACAGAACAUGCAAAUUAAAUUCAGCACAAGAGACUUUGCCUACUUCAAUCUAACAAAGGGGAUGUAUCCCCAUCAUAACACUUCUUAAGACUCUCUGCACACCUAUAAACAAUUCCCUCACUCGUCCUCCUUGUUACCUUACUAAACCCUUCAAAACAAGACACCUAAUCAUUCCCUUAUCUUGUAACACUAACUUAAGGAACCCAAAGCACCAAGAAUAUAGGCAGGCCCAUCUAAAGCUUGAAAUGAUUCAUAAAUUCAGUCACUAAGCUGCAGCAUGAUUACUUGUUUUUGUUUGUCCCCGUCUUCCAUAUACUUUUCAAGAUGAGGAAUGGAACAAAAAGUGGUAUAAAUGUAAAAUUGUACAUCCACCACAAACAAAUGCUGUUGUGUAAUCAGGUUCUUACUCACAGAAAAGAAUAGAAAUUAGAAAGGAAAUAAAGAAAGAAAGGGAAGAAGGAAUAG